AAUCGCCUCCUCCCUGCGUCAGACGAGACACACACCCGCAGGCGAGAGCGGAUCCUCCGGCUAGAUCCCGACGCCGCUGGCGAUGCAGGUCGAUGGCCGCCCCUAAGGGUUCACUCAGCAUGGAUUUUCCAUCCCUAGAUUCGCCUUGGCUCGACCGAGAAGAAGCAAACCAGACGGGAGAUGAGGGCACCAGCCCAAGCCGAUCCGUCGACUCUACGAGCUCUGGAAGCAACGGCCGCGCCGGAUUUCGCGGAGGUAGCGGAAGUUCCGAUGCCUUCUCCAGAUGAAGCCGCGGCCCAUCUCUCCGGUUCACCACCAUCGCCUGGGUCAUGGAACAACAGGUCAUAUAACAACCAAGCUUAAGGACUGCCGCUGGAGGAUUCCCCCCUUCGCGUUUUGGAAUCGCUCCUAUUUAUUGUUCAUCAUGAUAUAGUUUUAUGAAGAGAUAAUUCAGGCCAGAUGAUAACCAAACAUAUGAAUUAUCCCAUCUGCGCCUCACAAUCGCCUCCAUCUCCACAUCCAUGGAAGAAGAGUCCUGCCUUGGGAGAAUUUUGUUCUACAGAAAGCCAAAUAUGGCAGGAAAAUUAUAUCACUCAAGAAUUGGGUAGUGGUGGCAGGACAGAACUGGUGACGUGGGGAC